AGAUCCAUAGAUGCUCUGUUUUCCUAAAGUGUAUUUUAGUUGUAUAUAUUUUUAAAACUUGGCCUUCAUCCAGCCAUGAAUGAUUAGAAGGUAGUAAGUAUGCUUGGCAGUCAGACUGUUUUUUCUACUCCCCUUAUUCACAUUUUUCCAGUUUAAGAGAGUUAGACUAAGCAAAGUGAUAAGUAAAAAUUGAAUUUCCCGGGAGGGUUUAAGAUUUAGGAUUUAGAAGCAUAACAACAGUUUUUAGUAGAAAAACUCAAAAUUUUUCCCUCCUAAAAAAUGCAAAAUUUGCAAAAUGGAUUUGGAGAUUGUCAGAACAAUAACAUUUUGGAGCCAUCAUCCCCGUAGGAGACCCUGAGCCUGAUGUACAGCGAGUGGUUACUUCUGACUGUGAACAUAGUUUGGGAGGUCCAGGUGUCUGUGAGUAAAACCACUAGCUCCUGUGUAAGCCUUUUUUUUUGUUUUUUGGUACUGGAGAUCGAACUCAGGAUCUUGCACUGUAAGCCUUUUUAUUACAUAAAGUCACAUCACUGCCUGUAAAAGGUAAAGAUUCUUUCCACUGCCUGUCAUUCUGUUCUUCUUCUCUAUGAAUUUUGCAUCUUAGUUUCUUUCAUGUGGAAAUAAACCAUCUUAUCCACACAGGGGGUCCAAGUUCUCCCUGAGAAGAUUCUCUGGAGGCUUACACAUAUAAAGAUCUGUGUUUGGGCUCUCUUGCUUUUCUAGGCUACUUAUUCCUGUGAGAGGAGGGAGGUAACCUUCACUGAUUGUCUGUGCUUCUUUGCCUAGGUAUGUCUGCAAUUUUUGACCAGAUAACGAUACUACUUAUCAUUUGUAGUGGAACUGUGGUGACCUCGUUUGUCCUAAUAGGCGCUGUCAUCUGUCUUUAUGCCAAAAUGUUCCAGGCAGUGAAGGCUUCAAAGGAAUGUGAUCCUGAGGCUAACUCAGCCAACAACACCAAGGACAAGGUCAUCCUGGCUGAAACC
rnacentral:lncRNA from 1 species